GAUUAAGUUAUUAAGGGCGCACGGUGGAUGCCUUGGCACUAGAAGCCGAUGAAGGACGUUACUAACGACGAUAUGCUUUGGGUAGCUGUAAGUAAGCGUUAAUCCAGAGAUUUCCGAAUGGGG
rnacentral:rRNA from 1 species